rnacentral:rRNA from 1 species
UACCAGCACCCCGAGUGGUCGGGACGAUUAUUGGGCCUAAAGCAUCCGUAGCCGGUUUUACAAGUCCUCCGUUAAAUCCAGCUGCUUAACAGAUGGGCUGCGGAGGAUACUAUAAGACUAGGAGGCAGGAGAGGCAAGCGGUACUCAGUGGGUAGGGGUAAAAUCCGUUGAUCCAUUGAAGACCGCCAGUGGCGAAGGCGGCUUGCCAGAAUGCGCUCGACGGUGAGGGAUGAAAGCUGGGGGGAGCAACCAGGG